GACGAACGCUGGCGGCGUGCUUAACACAUGCAAGUCGAACGGAAAGGCCCUGCUUUUGUGGGGUGCUCGAGUGGCGCACGGGUGAGUAACACGUGAGUAACCUGCCCUUGACUUUGGGAUAACUUCAGGAAACUGGGGCUAAUACCGGAUAGAAGCUCCUGCUGCAUGGGGGGGGUUGGAAAGUUUCGGCGGUUGGGGAUGGACUCGCGGCUUAUCAGCUUGUUGGUGGGGUAGGGGCUUACAAAGGCUUUGACGGGUAGCCGGCCUGAGAGGGUGGCCGGCCACAUUGGGACUGCGAUACGGCCCAGACGCCUACGGGCGGCAGCAGUGGGGAAUAUUGCACAAUGGGCGGAAGCCUGAUGCAGCAACGCCGCGUGCGUGAUGACGGCCUUCGGGUUGUAAACCGCUUUCGCCUGUGACGAAGCGUGAGUGACGGUAAUGGGUAAAGAAGCACCGGCUAACUACGUG
rnacentral:rRNA from 1 species